UUAGAGUUUGAUCCUGGCUCAGAACGAACGCUGGCGGCAUGCCUAACACAUGCAAGUCGAACGAAGGCUUCGGCCUUAGUGGCGCACGGGUGCGUAACGCGUGGGAAUCUGCCCUUAGGUACGGAAUAACAGUGAGAAAUUACUGCUAAUACCGUAUGAUGACGUAAGUCCAAAGAUUUAUCGCCUAGGGAUGACCCCGCGUAGGAUUAGCUAGUUGGUGGGGUAAAGGCCUACCAAGGCGACGAUCCUUAGCUGGUCUGAGAGGAUGAUCAGCCACACUGGGACUGAGACACGGCCCACACUCCUACGGGAGGCAGCAGUGGGGAAUAUUGGACAAUGGGCGAAAGCCUGAUCCAGCAAUGCCGCGUGAGUGAUGAAGGCCUUAGGGUUGUAAAGCUCUUUUACCCGGGAAGAUAAUGACUGUACCGGGAGAAUAAGCCCCGGCUAACUCCGUGCCAGCAGCCGCGGUAAUACGGAGGGGGCUAGCGUUGUUCGGAAUUACUGGGCGUAAAGCGUACGUAGGCGGCUUUGUAAGUUAGAGGUGAAAGCCUGGUGUUCAACACCAGAACUGCCUUUAAGACUGCAUCGCUUGAAUCGCGGAGAGGUGAGUGGAAUUCCGAGUGUAGAGGUGAAAUUCGUAUAUAUUCGGAAGACACCAGUGGCGAAGGCGGCUCACUG
rnacentral:rRNA from 1 species